GCCAGUAUGGUGUAGUGGUUUGAGUGCUAGACUAUGACUCUGGAGACCAGGGUUUGAACUCCUGUGCAGCCA